rnacentral:lncRNA from 1 species
UCCUCGAUAUCGUAUUCUCCAUGUCAAACCAAUCGCCCUCUACCUCCCUAAUUAGGUUAUGUAAAACACAACAAACUAUGACAAUCUUAGCUUGUGCUUGAACAUUGUACAUUGGCGGUGUUUGGAGGAUAAGGAAACGACCUUUACCACUCCAAAAGCACGUUCUACAAUAUUCUUCAACGAUGGAUGGCGUAAGUUGAAUAAUUCUCUAGUAGAUGGAGGGGCAGAACUAGUCCUAAAAGCAUUCAAGUGGUACCGAGUAC